GGGAUCUCUUCCUGGAGAUUACUACCUUAGAAGUUUUUCUGUGUGCCCAGGAUGUGGAUUCCUGUCUGCUUACAGCUUGUCUGUAUGUUCUGCAAUGUACCACCUUGCCUAACUGAAAACGCCCCAUGAAAUUGUACUGAGUUUAUUUGAGACAUGGAAUUUUAUAUCCUUCAGGGGUGGCCUCUGCCUGCCUGGGCUUAUGCUUUGCUUUCCUGACUACUAAUCUGAUCUUGGUAUAUCAGGCCUAUGGAGUUGCUUUUACUUCCAAGAAGUAGAAUACACUGGAUGCCACGCAGAUCACUGUUGAAAGCCUUUACAAAAUAUCUUCUCCUUAUGAGUACGGCAUGUACAGAUACUUACGAUCUCUGUUAUUUCUGAAAUUUUAUUUUUGGCAGAUAUGUGUGCAAUAAGGAAGAGCUGACUACUCUCACUCUUUCUCCCUCUCAAUAUGUUAAAUAAAAAAAUAAAUCUGACCACCACAAUGCUACAUGGGAGUCAUUCCUAUUAAACUGCAGUAUCUAGCAAAACAAUGUCCUGGCUUGGAAACAGAGAUGUCCCAAACCAAUAUUAGUAUUUGAUUAUUGUCAUGAUUGUUUUAUAAGUCCCCCAGGGAAAGGGGGAAAGGAAUCAACCUGAAGUGGAAACUUACUUUCUGUUCUGGUAACUGUGUGCAUGCUGAGGAGACAGGAAUGUGAUCUUCUGAGGCAUGGUGAGGCAGCAAUUCAUGUGCCCUGAUCCAUCCUUUUCUCUGUCCAGUAGAGCUUUCACACGAUAUGGUAGGUAUACUUCAAAAUUUAAGAAAUCCAGGUGAGUUCCUAUUCCCCCUAGUAUAAAUUUUAAAAA